rnacentral:lncRNA from 10 species
CUCGUUCUCUCCACAGAAUGGCUGAGUGGAGUCUAUGGGAAUAGGGAUGGGAACGACAACUGAUGGUAUCACAGGUGAUUUUCAUGGAAGGUGCAGGAGCCAGGGACAUCCCCUGCUCUUUCCAGUGGACUUCUGCUGUUUCUGAGGGUGAACAGCCACAGCAGCCCUGUGGACACCAUGAGGCUUCCACUUCAUCAGACCAUCAGUGAACCAGGCCCUGGCAUUUAGGAGAACCUCUGUGAACUUAGGUUCCUGUUGACCCAGUGACUUUGCUUUGGUGGAGUGGGGGAUAUAAGUGUCCCCCAAAGGGUUAGCUGCCAGUUUUUUCAUGUAAAACUGAGAUGUCAGCAGGGCUAGACUAGCUGUGUUCUUAAAUAUACCAUUUCCAUCUUAAGUACACGUACAUUCCAUAAAAGCCAUCCUUUUGUGGGUCAGGUAUUCUGUUGUAAGAAGCCAGAUAGUAAGCUUUUCAAAAGAGAAGUACCUGGCCACUGUGUCAGGGAGACAGGCAGUAAGUCCAAAACAGGGGCACCUCUGGGUACAGUCUGCUUCCCUUUGCCAAAUGUUCCAAUUAGCAAAAUUAGUCACAGAGACUUAUAUAGCUCAAAGGGAUCAUUGGGUUGUGAGGACCCACAGGUAGAGUGGGCUUGCUGGACAGCUUCCAAUACAGCUUUCUGGCCUGGGCCCUGCUCUAAAGGGUGCUGGUUGGCAAGUUAGCAGAUGUAAAGGACCAAGUAGGAUGCCCAAAGUGAGGCAUAUGCUGUCUGCAAUACCCAAGGAGUCUGAGAAGGUGCAGGGCCUUCUUUUUUUGGUGGUGGUGGAAGGACUACCAGCAGCUUUUCCUUGACUCCUGGAAGGAUUAAACAUUGCGAAUUGGCCGAGUGCAGUGGCUCACACAUGUAAUCCCAGCACUUUGGGAGGCCAAGGCUGGCGGAUCGCUUGAGGCCAGGAGUUCAAGACCUGCCUGGCCAACAUGGUAAAACUCCGUCUCUACUCAAAAUACAAAAGUUAGCUGGGUAUGGUGGCGUGUGCCUGUAAUCCCAACUACUUGGGAGGCUGAGGCAGAAGAAUCACUUGAACCUGGGAGGCAGAGGUUGCAGUGAGCUGAGAUUGCACCACUGCACUCCAGCCUAGGCGACAGAGUGAGACUGCAUCUCAAAAACAAAAAAACAAAAACUUGUGAAUCAGCAGUUGUAUUCCAAGAAAUGGAAUUUUGUCAGGGAUUGUCAGUCCCUGCUGCUGGUGGAGAUGUGGUAACACUAUGAUCAGGAUCUCCAACACUGGGACUGUUGACUUGCCAUCCAAGAGGACAUCAUCUGUAUGGUGAAAGUUUUGGACAUCAGAGGGCAGAGGGACUGAGUUAAACCCUGACUCACCCAUGGCGGGUAAAUGGCAGGGGAGCUUAUCCCACUGGCAUUGACUGAGAGAACCCCCUUUGGCACUUCAGGGCUGGAAGGAGAAGCACCAGUUCCUAACACAAAUUCAGGUAUAGAUGCAACAAAACCAAGACUUCGAAUUGUCCCAAAGGGCCCUACAGCACUUGGCUUUUUCUCUCUGCACUAUGAAACUUGUCCAAACCCUGUCAGUUGAAUUUGGACACUCCCUUUCCCCCAUGAGACCAGGUAGGAUGGUGGCUUAUGCACCCAUAUCCAAGAGACAAGUUUCAAGGCACUUUUGUCCCCAGUGUACCUUAGCAUACUCGGGUGCUCACGGCCUUUGGUCCCCCUUGAGGACAGGGAGACCUCAUCCCUGUCCCUCAUCAUUUCUCCUUAAAGCAGCUGAGGUUGAGGUAGAGAAUAAGUGAGGGACCAGGGAUUGUGGGCAAGAGCCUUGCAGGCAAGAGACUGGUUCUGUGCCAUUAAAUGAGGGCACUUCUUACUUCUAGGUUCAAAGAGUGUGGCAGCAAUUUGUGGCUCAAACAAAUGAGUUUCCAAUAUUUUCAGCCCACCCACAGCCCUGUAUCAAGUGGCAAGGCCACCAUUACUGACUCUGUUUAUUUCAGCUUUGGGGAUCCCUUGACUCCAUAGCCACAUUGCUUUCUGGUUGAGGCCCCAGGGAUUUUGUUCUUCGCUGACUCAGACUAGACGUAAAGCCAGAGUGCCAGAAUUUUCUUGCACUGAUUCUCCAUCCAGGGGGAUUGGAGGCCAGGGGACACCUGCACUUGCAGAAACCUGUCAUGAGGGGAAUCCUAAGUUUAAAUAACAUGAAGCCUUUUUUUUAAAAAAGUGUUUUUCGUUUUUUUUUGUUUGUUUGUUUGUUUUAAGUGAAAAGGUCUCACUCUGUUACCUAGGCUGGAGUGCAGUCGUUUAAUCAUGGCUCACUGCAGCCUCGACCUCCCGG